rnacentral:tRNA from 1 species
UAAUCUAAUAACUUUGUUUUGAAAACAAAAAUAAGAGUUUACAGACUCUAUAGAUUAU